rnacentral:rRNA from 1 species
UAGAGUUUGAUCAUGGCUCAGGACGAACGCUGGCGGCGUGCUUAACACAUGCAAGUCGAGCGAUGAAGCACCUUCGGGUGUGAAUUAGCGGCGAACGGGUGAGGAACACGUGAAGAAUCUGCCUUCAACUCUGGGAUAACUCCGGGAAACCGGGGCUAAUACCGGAUAUGAGCCUUGAUCGCAUGAUCGGGGCUGGAAAGUUUUUCGGUUGAAGAUGACUUCGCGGCCUAUCAGCUUGUUGGUGAGGUAAUGGCUCACCAAGGCGACGACGGGUAGCCGGCCUGAGAGGGCGACCGGCCACACUGGGACUGAGACACGGCCCAGACUCCUACGGGAGGCAGCAGUGGGGAAUAUUGGGCAAUGGAGGAAACUCUGACCCAGCGACGCCGCGUGAGGGAUGAAGGCCUUCGGGUUGUAAACCUCUUUCAGUAGGGAAGAAGCGAAAGUGACGGUACCUACAGAAGAAGCACCGGCUAACUAUGUGCCAGCAGCCGCGGUAAUAC